CCCUUUAUUUAUAGGGAGGUGGUGACUUAGCCACCAAGAAGUAAACCGUAGAAUCUCUCUAAGUAUGGACAUUCACCUAAAAUAGAAUAUUUUAUAACAGAAACCCGUUUAUUAUAAAAUUUUAGACUCAGUGGCGACUAAGCAAUGAGACACUUAACUUAAUGGCGACUCCCAAAUGUUAUAACAUCCCAACCUUGAAGUCAACCCAACCACAUACAAAUAAAUCAAGGAUCAGAAAAACUAGACAUGAAUGAAUAGAAGAAGAAAAACAAAAAGUAAGAAAGACGCCAUAGGCGUUUCAGAUCUUUUUACUUGUUUUUCUUACUAUCUGGUGCAUCUAUUGGAAUAUGAGAUAUGACGACUUCAUGCUUGGGGAGUGCUGAGUCUCAGAUGAGACUCCAUUUUUGCACCAAGUGUAUCUUUUUGUGGUCAGCAUACUGAGGCGGGAUCUUAGAUGCACUAUUGAACUCUGACUUCGAACUCUCUACCUUAGACGAUAGUUAGUAGCCACAAUAAGCAAAUAAACCAUUGUAAUUGCUAGAAAUACAAAGAGAACUAGAGAACUCCAUUUUUAGUUAGAGAAGUACAUUACUGGAGGUGGCUGAAAAACUCUCGACUUUGGGGUGAAAGUUGGCGGCUGAACCAUCAUUUUAGGAGUAAAAUGGUGGAUGAAUCUUUAGUAUUUUUAGGGGUAAAUGUGCGUUUCACGAACUUGUUUUUGGGUAAAAGGGCGGCUGAAGCUUAAGGUUAAAGGAGGAGGCUCAGGCCUCUUCAAAUCGUUUCCCUAGUGCCACUAUUUAUAGGCAAAAAGUAGGGUUGAUUUUCAGUGGGAUUUUGAAUAAAAAAAAAUUAAAUUUUGAGUCAAGUUGGCCAUUCGAUUUUGAACGUUGAAAUCCAUGGCAGAGAUAGCAACAUGAGCAGAGAUUUUAAGCCAAUAAUGGUGAAGCAUUGUCUAGGUUGGGUUGGAUAAUUUGACGUUUGGUCAAAAGAGGAAGGAGA
rnacentral:lncRNA from 1 species